UCCAUGCUCUGGUCCUUCCUGCGCAUUGCUGGAGAAGAUUGUGUUUGAAGGCAGUUUGAAUUUAACCACUUAUGCAAGUUGAAAGCAGUUUGAGUCUUUAAUACCUAACAUCAGUGCUCCACCAGUGGGACUUAUUCCUUCACUGCAAUAUGCUGUUUAUACGCCGGCAUUAAGGCAUCCUGCUAUUACCUUCCUGCAUGCUAUUACCAGUCUCCUCUGAUGCCUCCAUUCCAGCUUGCACAUCCUAGUUUUGGACUUUGCCGCUACCGUCUGUCAGAAGCACGCACAGAUUUGUUCUCAGCGUGGUUCCCGAGAUUUGUGAGCACCGGUUGAGCUGCACCUCUGCAAGGACCUCUCGUUGCUGUUUCUUACCUGCCCUUGUCAGCAUCUGAGCUUCAUCUUGGGAGCUCUGGAUAUUUCUGGUUUAGAGGAUCUCUCCUUUCCUUGUAGACUCCCUCUACUCCAGAAACAUCUAGUUCUUAAUUGAGUCUGAACCCUUCCUUCCUACAUCACUUUUUCAACUGUGUAUCGAGGCACCAUCUCUCUGUUUGGUCAUGUAUGUGUUAAAAUUUAUCAAAAACCAUGCACAGUCAUAGUA